AGAGGCAGGCGCACAUCCACAGCGCCUGGAGGUCAGGGCCAAGCCAGCCAAGCUCGCUGCCACGGUUCCUCCUCACACUGACCCCGUCCACGGUUUUACUGAGAACUCAAGCCCUGCAAGAAACUAACACGACACUGUAAGGCAAUUAUACUCCAGUUACAAGAAAAAAGAAGAAGGAGAAUCACCUCUGAGAAGUCAGGGAGGAGUCUGUCCCAGGCCCUGUCAUCAUCCAGCGGGGAGGGGGAAAGAAGCCAGGCGAGGACCGCUCCCUGGAGAAGCCGCUGCAUUCUUUCAGCAUCCGUAAGGCAAUUAAGUCUUCACGUUCGCG